rnacentral:rRNA from 1 species
UGGGGAAUAUUGGACAAUGGGCGCAAGCCUGAUCCAGCCAUGCCGCGUGAGUGACGAAGGCCUUAGGGUUGUAAAGCUCUUUUUGGCGGGGAAGAUAAUGACGGUACCCGCAGAAUAAGCUCCGGCUAACUUCGUGCCAGCAGCCGCGGUAAUACGAAGGGAGCUAGCGUUGUUCGGAAUCACUGGGCGUAAAGCGCACGUAGGUGGGCAGUUAAGUCAGGGGUGAAAGCCCGAGGCUCAACCUCGGAAUUGCCUCUGAUACUGGCUGUCUAGAGUUCGAGAGGGGUGAGUGGAAUUCCUAGUGUAGAGGUGAAAUUCGUAGAUAUUAGGAAGAACACCGGUGGCGAAGGCGGCUCACUGGCUCGAUACUGACACUGAGGUGCGAAAGCGUGGGGAGCAAACAGGAUUAGAUACCCACGUAGUCCCUGAGCGGGCUGGCAAGGCGCAU